CAGCAGCCACGGGAAUACAGAGGGUGCGAGCGUUAAUCGGAUUUACUGGGCGUAAAGCGUGCGUAGGCGGCUUCUUAAGUCGGAUGUGAAAUCCCUGAGCUUAACUUAGGAAUUGCAUUCGAUACUGGGAAGCUAGAGUAUGGGAGAGGAUGGUAGAAUUCCAGGUGUAGCGGUGAAAUGCGUAGAGAUCUGGAGGAAUACCGAUGGCGAAGGCAGCCAUCUGGCCUAAUACUGACGCUGAGGUACGAAAGCGUGGGGAGCAAACAGGAUUAGAUACCCCAGUAGUCCCUGUCUCUUAUAC
rnacentral:rRNA from 1 species